rnacentral:rRNA from 1 species
ACGAACGCUGGCGGCAUGCCUAACACAUGCAAGUCGAACGAGACCUUCGGGUCUAGUGGCGCACGGGUGCGUAACGCGUGGGAACCUGCCCUUAGGUUCGGAAUAACUCCCCGAAAGGGGUGCUAAUACCGGAUAAUGUCUUCGGACCAAAGAUUUAUCGCCUUUGGAUGGACCCGCGUUGGAUUAGCUAGUUGGUAGGGUAAAGGCCUACCAAGGCGACGAUCCAUAGCUGGUCUGAGAGGAUGAUCAGCCACACUGGGACUGAGACACGGCCCAGACUCCUACGGGAGGCAGCAGUGGGGAAUAUUGGACAAUGGGCGAAAGCCUGAUCCAGCAAUGCCGCGUGAGUGAUGAAGGCCUUAGGGUUGUAAAGCUCUUUUACCCGGGAUGAUAAUGACAGUACCGGGAGAAUAAGCUCCGGCUAACUCCGUG